UACAGAGGGGGCAAGCGUUAUUCGGAAUUAUUGGGCGUAAAGGGCGCGUAGGCGGCAUCGCAAGUGGAAGGUGAAAUCCCUCGGCUUAACCGAGGAACUGCCCUCCAAACUGCGUUGCUUGAGGCCGGGAGAGGUGAGUGGAAUUCCCGGUGGAGCGGUGAAAUGCGUAGAGAUCGGGAAGAACGCCGGCGGCGAAAGCGACUCUCUGGUCGGAAUCUGACGCUGAGGUGCGAAAGCUAGGGGAGCAAACGGG
rnacentral:rRNA from 1 species